rnacentral:rRNA from 1 species
AGUGAACGCUGGCGGUAGGCCUAUCACAUGCAAGUCGAACGGCAACACAGUAAGAGCUUGCUCUUACGGGUGGCGAGUGGCGGACGGGUGAGGAAUACAUCGGAAUCUACUUUUUCGUGGGGGAUAACGUAGGGAAACUUACGCUAAUACCGCAUACGACCUACGGGUGAAAGCAGGGGAUCUUCGGACCUUGCGCGAUUGAAUGAGCCGAUGUCGGAUUAGCUAGUUGGCGGGGUAAAGGCCCACCAAGGCGACGAUCCGUAGCUGGUCUGAGAGGAUGAUCAGCCACACUGGAACUGAGACACGGUCCAGACUCCUACGGGAGGCAGCAGUGGGGAAUAUUGGACAAUGGGCGCAAGCCUGAUCCAGCCAUACCGCGUGGGUGAAGAAGGCCUUCGGGUUGUAAAGCCCUUUUGUUGGGAAAGAAAAGCAGCAGGUUAAUACCCCGCUGUUCUGACGGUACCCAAAGAAUAAGCACCGGCUAACUUCGUG